rnacentral:rRNA from 1 species
UGAGUACGAGAUGCUACGGCAUCGAAGCAGUCUAUGUCAUACUUCCAAGAAAAGCUUGCACUGUCAUAAACAAAGAAUGCCUGUACCAUAACCGACACAGGUGGGUAGGUAGAGUAUACUAAGGGGCGCGAGAUAACUCUCUCUAAGGAACUCGGCAAAAUGACUCCGUAACUUCGGGAGAAGGAGUGCCUUAUUUCUAAGGUUGCAAUAACAAGAUCCAAGCAACUGUUUACCAAAAACACAGGUCUCCGCUAAGUCGUAAGACGAUGUAUGGGGGCUGACGCCUGCCCAGUGCCAGAAGGUUAAAGAAGUUGGUUAGCAUUAGCGAAGCUGAUAACUGAAGCCCAGGUGAACGGCGGCCGUAACGAUAACGGUCCUAAGGUAGCGAAAUUCCUUGUCGGGUAAGUUCCGACCCGCACGAAAGGCGUAAUGAUUUGGAUACUGUCUCGGAGAGGGGCUCGGUGAAAUAGACUUGUCUGUGAAGAUGCGGACUACCUGCACCUGGACAGAAAGACCCUAUGAAGCUUUACUGUAACUUGAGAUUGAAAUUGGACUUUAUUUGCGCAGUAUAGGUGGGAGGCGUUGAGAAUAAUCUUGCGGGAUUGUUGGAGCCAUCAGUGAGAUACCACUCUUGUAAUGUUAGAUUUCUAACUUUGUAUCAUUAUCUGGUCAAAGAACAGUUUCAGGCGGGCAGUUUGACUGGGGCGGUCGCCUCCCAAAGGGUAACGGAGGCGCACAAAGGUCUCCUCUGAACGGGUAGAAAUCGUAUCUAGAGUGUAAAGGCAUAAGGAAGCUUGACUGUGAGACCUACAAGUCGAGCAGGGACGAAAGUCUGUCUUAGUGAUCUGACGGUGCUGAGUGGAAAGGCCGUCACUCAACGGAUAAAAGCUACUCUAGGAUAACAGGCUGAUCUCCCCCAAGAGUUCACAUCGACGGGGAGGUUUGGCACCUCGAUGUCGGCUCAUCGCAUCCUGGGGCGGUAGUCCGUCCCAAGGGUUGGGCUGUUCGCCCAUGAAAGCGGUACGCGAGCUGGGUUCAGAACGUCGUGAGACAGUUCGGUCCAUAUCCGGUGUAGGCGUUAGAAUAUUGAGAGGAGCCUUCUCUAGUACGAGAGGACCGAGAAGGACAUACCUCUGGUGUACCAGUUAUCGUGCCAACGGUAAACGCUGGGUAGCUAUGUAUGGAGUGGAUAACCGCUGAAAGCAUCUAAGUGGGAAGCCCACCUCAAGAUAAGUAUUCCC